rnacentral:rRNA from 1 species
CCUACGGGUGGCAGCAGUGAGGAAUAUUGGUCAAUGGGCUUACGCCUGAACCAGCCAAGUCGCGUGAGGGAAGAAUGCCCUAUGGGUUGUAAACCUCUUUUGUCAGGGAGCAAAUGGCGCUACGUGUAGCGGUAUCGAGAGUACCUGAAGAAAAAGAAUCGGCUAACUCCGUGCCAGCAGCCGCGGUAAUACGGAGGAUGCGAGCGUUAUCCGGAUUUAUUGGGUUUAAAGGGUGCGUAGGCGGGAGGCCAAGUCAGCGGUAAAAUCGCGGGGCUCAACCUCGGUCCGCCGUUGAAACUGGCGUGCGUGAGUGGGAGAGAAGUAUGCGGAAUGCGUGGUGUAGCGGUGAAAUGCAUAGAUAUCACGAAGAACUCCGAUUGCGAAGGCAGCAUACCGGCGCCAAACUGACGCUGAAGCACGAAAGCGUGGGUAUCGAACAGGAUUAGAUACCCCUGUAGUC